AUUGAACGCUGGCGGCAGGCUUAACACAUGCAAGUCGAGCGGGGGAAGGUAGCUUGCUACCGGACCUAGCGGCGGACGGGUGAGUAAUGCUUAGGAAUCUGCCUAUUAGUGGGGGACAACAUCUCGAAAGGGAUGCUAAUACCGCAUACGUCCUACGGGAGAAAGCAGGGGAUCUUCGGACCUUGCGCUAAUAGAUGAGCCUAAGUCGGAUUAGCUAGUUGGUGGGGUAAAGGCCUACCAAGGCGACGAUCGGUAGCGGGUCUGAGAGGAUGAUCCGCCACACUGGGACUGAGACACGGCCCAGACUCCUACGGGAGGCAGCAGUGGGGAAUAUUGGACAAUGGGGGGAAACCUGAUCUAGCCAUGCCGCGUGUGUGAAGAAGGCCUUAUGGUUGUAAAGCACUUUAAGCGAGGAGGAGGCUACUCUAGUUAAUACCUAGGGAUAGUGGACGUUACUCGCAGAAUAAGCACCGGCUAACUCUGUGCCAGCAGCCGCGGUAA
rnacentral:rRNA from 1 species